CAAUAGCGUAUAUUAAAGCUGUUGCGGUUAAAAAGCUCGUAGUUGGAUUUCUGUCAAGGACAACUGGUCCGCCCUCCGGGUGAGCACCUAGUUUGGUCUUGGCAUCUUGCUGGAAACUGUUGCUGCGCUUGGUUGUGUGGUGCAGCUUUCAGCACUUUCACUUUGAGGAAAUUGGAGUGUUUCAAGCAGGCACAUGCCUUUGGACACAGUAGCAUGGAAUAAUUAGAUUGGGCUUUUGCUCCAACUUGUUGGUUCCUGGAGCUGAGGUGAGAAUCAAUGGGGAUUGUUGGGGGCAUCCGAAUUUAGCCGUCAGAGGUGAAAUUCUUGGAUCUGCUAAAGACGGACAACUGCGAAAGCGUUUGCCCAGGAUGUUUUCAUUGA
rnacentral:rRNA from 1 species